CUCGGACUGUGGAAGAAUUGAAGGAUCGUUAUUAUAGUGUUUCUCGAGCUAUACUGCUUGCUAGAGCUCCAUCUUCUGGGGACGUUUCAGGACAUCCUCUUGUUAAGGAACCAUAUAAUGUUUCACAAGAGAUAGAUCGUAAACGUGCACUAUCCAUGGUCCUUNUCACAAACAAAGCAGCAAGAGCGAAAAGAUGCUGAGGUUCUUGCUGAAGCAAAAAGAAUAACCGAGUCACGCAUGGCUGCAAGGGGUGUUGAAGAAUCUACAUUGCAUGUAGCAUCAAAUGCUGGUCCAGAAAUGGCUGAGACAGCUACUAAUGUUGAUGGUACUGUAUCACCGUCAUCCAAUGCUCAGCUUGCCUCUGUAGCAGUUGCUCCCUCAAGUUCUGUAAUGGCAGAAAAUGCCUCCACUCUAGCUUCUCUGCGCAUGCUUCGUGUAUACUUGAGAACAUAUGCACUCGAGCAAAUGGUGCAAGCUGCAAGUUCAACUGCUGGGCUUCGAACAAUCAAGCGAGUUGAGCAAAUAUUACAAGAUCUUGGGGUUAAUUUAAAACCAAGGGUACCAACCAAAGCAGUGUGUGCGGAGCACCUUGAAUUAAGAAAAGAAAUACUCACUCUACUCAAUCUUCAAAAACAGUUGCAAUAUAAGGAGGCAGAAGGUUCAUCUUUUCGUGAUGGUUCAUAUACUGAAAUGCCAGGCACACCCAAGCGUUCUCACUCUCACCGUGAUCAAGACGGAACAUUUGUUCCAGACUCAAUGAGUUUUGGAGGGGAAAGGGCUGGCAGAAGGGAUCAGAAACGCAAGGGACCUGGAAGGUUAUCUGAGGCUCCAUCAUCACCAGCUCAUAAAAGGCCCAGAAAAUUGAAGGCUUCGGAUCUAUGAUUUUGAGGGUUCAUCAUUUUCCUUCCCCUGGAUUGGCAAGAUAGCAAAAUUAGAGGGGCAGUAUCCAGAUAAGGGCCUCAAAGGAUGUGUGACCUAAUCCGUGAGCAUCCCAUUUUUAGAAUGUCUAGCUGGUGUCUUUACAUCUGGUCAGAUCCCAGGCUGGGAUGUAGUUGCAAGUUGGAGGAGUCUUACCAGUAGGGAUGAAGAUGACUUCUUGUCAUAAUUAGAAGAUUGUAAAAUCCUUUUCAUUAGUGGAUGCAAACACUGUACAAAUGGCUAAUGUUCGGAGGCUUAGGAGUUUCUUUGUCACUAAAUUUAACAUUUUCAUGUAAAUGCAUCCCAUCUGAGAAUAGAAAUCAAUGACUUUGCACUCGUAAGUAUUAAUUUAUGAAACAGC
rnacentral:misc_RNA from 1 species